rnacentral:rRNA from 1 species
CAAGUCGAGCGGACUUCUUAAGGGCUUGCUCUUAAGAGGUUAGCGGCGAACGGGUGAGUAACACGUGGGCAACCUGCCCGACAGACCGGGAUAACGCUUGGAAACGAGUGCUAAUACCGGAUAGGCUGCUCCUUCGCAUGAAGGAGCAGAGAAAGAAGCUUUCGCUUCACUGUCGGAUGGGCCCGCGGCGCAUUAGCUAGUUGGUGAGGUAACGGCUCACCAAGGCGACGAUGCGUAGCCGACCUGAGAGGGUGACCGGCCACACUGGGACUGAGACACGGCCCAGACUCCUACGGGAGGCAGCAGUAGGGAAUCUUCCACAAUGGGCGCAAGCCUGAUGGAGCAACGCCGCGUGAAUGAUGAAGGCCUUCGGGUUGUAAAAUUCUGUCUUCUGUGAAGAACAAGUGCGAGAAGAGAAUGCUCGCACCCUGACGGUAACAGAGGAGGAAGCCCCGGCUAACUACGUGCCAGCAGCCGCGGUAAUACGUAGGGGGCAAGCGUUGUCCGGAAUUACUGGGCGUAAAGCGCGCGCAGGCGGCCAUUUGCGUCCGGGGUGAAAGCCCAAGGCUCAACCUUGGGAUUGCCUUGGAUACGGGAUGGCUUGAGGAUCGGAGAGGCAAGGGGAAUUCCACGUGUAGCGGUGAAAUGCGUAGAGAUGUGGAGGAACACCUGUGGCGAAGGCGCCUUGCUGGCCGAUUUCUGACGCUGAGGCGCGAAAGCGUGGGGAGCAAACAGGAAUUAGAUACCCUGGUAUUCCACGCCCGUAAACGAUGAGUGCUAGGUGUUGGGGGGGUACCACCCUCAGUGCCGAAGCCUAACGCCAUUAAGCCACUCCCGCCUGGGGAAGUACGGUC